rnacentral:lncRNA from 1 species
GAUAUUCCUGGUGUUGGUGUUCUUCUUGAUGGGAAAAUUGAUUUUUUUAGGAUUGAUCUCCUUCCGAACACCCAUUAUAUCUUUAUCCCUUCUUACGGAAUGGAUCCAGCUGAGUCAACAGAAUUUAAGGAGCAAUUGAAAGAUAAUCUUGAUUAGGGUUGUCCGCCCUAGCAUUUCUCCAUAGGGUGUUUCCGCUCUUCUAUACAUAAGGGGGAUGUUUUUCUUUGAAUAUGUAUAGGUUAUCGCGAAUGAAUAAGGAAUUUAGGGUGACCUCUAGUGGGGUGGACUAUCUAUAUAUUUUACGCGGGGUACUCUAUUAGUAGUGCAUGAUAGAUGAUAGACACUAAGUUUUAAACUAAGAUAUUGAUUUUGGUGAAAGGAGUAUGUUAGCUCGAGGAUAGCGAUGCGAGAUUUAUGGAAGUAAAUUGGUAGGCUUGAUGGGGUGUGCGGAAGAGAUGAGGUAGAUGACUUAGGGAAUACUGGAGUGGAAAAAUUAUGAUAUAUAGGCCAGGGGUCC